GACGAACGCUGGCGGCGUGCCUAACACAUGCAAGUCGAGCGAAUGAAGUUCCUUCGGGAAUGGAUUUAGCGGCGGACGGGUGAGUAACACGUGGGCAACCUGCCUCAUAGAGGGGAAUAGCCUUCCGAAAGGGAGAUUAAUACCGCAUAAGAUUGUAGUAUCGCAUGAUACAGCAAUUAAAGGAGCAAUCCGCUAUGAGAUGGGCCCGCGGCGCAUUAGCUAGUUGGUGAGGUAACGGCUCACCAAGGCGACGAUGCGUAGCCGACCUGAGAGGGUGAUCGGCCACAUUGGGACUGAGACACGGCCCAGACUCCUACGGGAGGCAGCAGUGGGGAAUAUUGCACAAUGGGGGAAACCCUGAUGCAGCAACGCCGCGUGAGUGAUGACGGCCUUCGGAUUGUAAAGCUCUGUCUUCAGGGACGAUAAUGACGGUACCUGAGGAGGAAGCCACGGCUAACUACGUG
rnacentral:rRNA from 1 species